CGUAGGGUGCAAGCGUUAAUCAGAAUUACUGGGCGUAAAGCGUGCGCAGGCGGUUUGGUAAGACAGAUGUGAAAUCCCCGGGCUUAACCUGGGAAUUGCAUUUGUGACUGCCCGGCUAGAGUUUGGCAGAGGGGGGUAGAAUUCCACGUGUAGCAGUGAAAUGCGUAGAUAUGUGGAGGAAUACCGAUGGCGAAGGCAGCCCCCUGGGUCAAGACUGACGCUCAUGCACGAAAGCGUGGGGAGCAAACAGGAUUAGAUACCCUGGUAGUCCACGCCCUAAACGAUGUCUACUAGUUGUCGGGUCUUAAUUGACUUGGUAACGCAGCUAACGCGUGAAGUAGACCGCCUGGGGAGUACGGUCGCAAGAUUA
rnacentral:rRNA from 1 species